rnacentral:rRNA from 1 species
GACGUAGGAGGCGAGCGUUGUCCAGAUUCAUUGGGCGUAAAGAGCACGCAGGCGGUUUGGCAAGUCGGAUGUGAAAACCCGAAGCUCAACUUCGGGCCUGCAUCCGAAACUGCCCGACUAGAGGUAGGUAGGGGAGAUCGGAAUUCCUGGUGUAGCGGUGAAAUGCGCAGAUAUCAGGAGGAACACCGGUGGCGAAGGCGGAUCUCUGGGCCUUACCUGACGCUCAGGUGCGAAAGCUAGGGGAGCGAACAGG